AUUCUUUCAUGGUAGUUACAAAGUAGAGUUCCCUAGGGUUCCGAUCAUGAUCUUCAUGGGAUCUGCAAGAUUUCUUCGGUUUUAAACGAUUGUGUGUUUUUCCACGGCUAGAUCGAGUGUUGAACGCAAGCUUUAAGCAAGUUUUCUUCCAUUGUAGAUAUGGGUAGAACUUCUAGGUAUGUUGAUCCUGGAUUUGUGUGUGUGUCGAUAAUGUUCUUGGUGGUUUCCGUGUUGUAGAUCUAAUGCAAGUGAACGAUUUUCGGUGUUCCGUCGAGUUACACUGAUGAUUUUUGCUCGAUGAGCACGGAUGUUUCCUGGAUUGUUCAUUGGAUCUAGAUAAGUCGUUAUGGAUGUCUUCUGUCGGGUUUUGUACGCACUUGGAAUAUCUUUUUGAAUAGUGAUAGAUUAGAAUGAUUGAAAUGUGCAAACUUGCAUUUGGAAUUUUAGAAUCUGUUCAUAUGAUUUGGGCAUGUAUUCUUUUGUAUUCUUUAAAUGUUUGAUUGGUGCAUACUCUACUUGAAAUCUUGUACAUGCUCUAAUUAAAUUCCAGAGUAUUCAUGUGUUUAGUUGAGAAAGUAUUUUAGUUGUUCUCUUGGAUUACUUAAAAGAUGCAGACAAUAUGGAAAUUUUUGGAUGAAACAAGUGCAUGAUGUACAUAUGUAACUAGCCUGUAAGAUAAUACCCAGAUCAUUAUGUUCCUUUUGUAUUUGUACACAUGAAGCAGUAGGUUAUCUUCUGUUCCAAUAUCUAUUUAGUUUCAAGAUACGGAUUACUACAAUAUGUGUUAUCUCUAGAUUAUUAGUUACAUUUGCCUUGUACAUAGUAGCAUAAGUUUGAGUUGCUCCAAUGACUGUUAACUUUAAGUCUCGGUUUUCUUCAGUAAAAGUUUAGUGAUUUAGUUGAGAAUUCCUGUUGUUGCCAUAUAAUUAAAAGAUGUUGUGAUCUGAAAUGUUAUGGGUACUGCUGCAUGUAAUUUCUUUUAGUGUAAAUGCCUUAUCUGGAUUUGCAGUGGGGUGUUAGUACUUAUGAACAAGGUAAAGGUGUGAAUGCUGUAAUUGGAUGAUAAAUGUUCUCAUGAAGCUCUAAAUGUCCUAGUUCAAGUGUAGAUGUAAAUUGAAAUGGUUACUGCCUUAGCUUUGGAUUGAUUGAUAAGGUUGAUUGCUCCAGAUUAUUGUUUCAUGUAUUUGUUUGUUGACUAGGAAUGUAUCCGUAUAACUCAUGUUUCAUGUAUGGAUUGGCAUUAGUUAGGAGAAGCUUAGUGUGUGAGGUGACUACGGAAACAAGUUCACCACACCUGAGUGUCUGUUUAGAUAAAGGUUGGGUAGUAUUUCCAUAUGAUGUUGUAGAAAUGGGUGGAACCACGUGUUGCUGUAGUAAUUAAUUGUUAACUGUGCUUAGAGUAAUCUUUCCAUUCUUGAUGCUUGAAUGUUGGAUUAGGAAUAAAGGUGCUUUCACCUAAAUUAUUUCAACUAGUAUCAAUGUUUUAUAUCAAAUCUUAAACUCAUGAUUUUACAAUCAGCUUGUAAUCCAAGCACACAGGUUGUUAUCCAAGUCUAUGUAUAUUGGUUAUGACCAACUGAUUUAAUAGUUAUAGUCUUUUCAAACUUGUUGUAUCACAUUUGUCAUAUUACAUUAAUUGUGCCCACAUGAUCUAGUGUGAAAGAUAUUGCUGAUGGGUAAUUAAGGAUCUUGUGUUUUUAUUGGCCUUAUUUAAAAGUGAAUGAAUCAUGUUGAUUUACAAUUUGGUUGGCAAUAUUUUGUUUUAUCUUGUUGAUAAUUGUAUUUUAUCUUUCAGAUUUUGAAGAUACCAAAAGUAUGAGACACUCGAAUGUAGACAAUUGACAAUUAAGCUCAAUCUAUCAAUGCAGUAACAACUACAUCCGAACCUCAGAGAUGUAACUGGGAAGUACUUUGAUGAAGAACUAUCAAGAAGGCUUUGAGAUUUAAGCGAGAAGAUGCAAAAGCCAAUGAGUAAAGAACAUUCAAGUCAAGAGGAUAAAUAAUAUCUAUCAAGAUCUUUUAAGUUCAUGCAAUAAGAUGUAGUCGCUAGGAAUAGCUUUGAGUAUCUCCUAAUUAAAAUUUUUCUGUAUGUAAGUAAUUAUGUUUGUUAUAGAAGUGUUAGGAUGAUAAUUUGUAUAUUUAUCUUGGUUUAUUUAAUAAUAUGUUAUUAAUUGAAGUA